rnacentral:rRNA from 11 species
UUCCUGCGCAACGUUAAUCGACGCAGGGUUAGUCGGCCCCUAAGGCGAGGCAGAGAUGCGUAGCUGAUGGGAAACAGGUCAAUAUUCCUGUACCGAUCAAUAGUGCGAUGUGGGGACGGAGAAGGUUAGCUCAGCCGGGUGUUGGAUGUCCCGGUUCAAGCCUGUAGUCGUGCCUGGUAGGCAAAUCCGCCGGGCUUAGAUGAGGGGUGAUAACGAGGAGGCUUGCCUCCGAAGUGAGUGAUACCCUGCUUCCAGGAAAAGCCACUAAGCUUCAGUUUGAAUUGAACCGUACCGCAAACCGACACAGGUGGGCAGGAUGAGAAUUCUAAGGCGCUUGAGAGAACUCGGGAGAAGGAACUCGGCAAAUUGACACCGUAACUUCGGAAGAAGGUGUGCCUUGGU